rnacentral:rRNA from 1 species
GACGAACGCUGGCGGCGUGCUUAACACAUGCAAGUCGAACGGGCCCGCCCCUGUUUUUGGGGGUGGGUUGAGUGGCGAACGGGUGAGUAUCACGUGAGUAACCUGCCCCCUGCUCCUGGAUAACUGCUUGAAAGGGCGGCUAAUACGGGGUGUGCCGGCUGGUCCGCAUGGGCCUGGUCGGGAUAGUUUCAUCUUCGGGUGUUUCGGUGGGGGAUGGGCUCGCGGCCUAUCAGCUUGUUGGUGGGGUGAUGGCCCACCAAGGCGGUGACGGGUAGCCGGCCUGAGAGGGUGGGCGGCCACACUGGGACGGAGACACGGCCCAGACUCCUGCGGGAGGCAGCAGUGGGGGGUAUUGCACAAUGGGCGGAAGCCUGAUGCAGCGACGUCGCGUGAGGGAUGGAGGCCGUCGGGUUGUGAACCUCUUUCUCCGGUGGUGAAGGCCCUGUCCGUUGCGGCGGGGUUGACGGUAGCCGGGUAUGAAGCGCCGGCUAACUACGUG